rnacentral:lncRNA from 1 species
AUCUUGAAAGUCCUCAAGGCUUAAGCCACAAGUGCAAUAACUCUGCUAAUAAUAAGGAUUGUGAGUUUAUUCAGUGGAACCCGUGAUUAUGACUGUUGCCAAGGUGACGGAGGGAGUGCCCGCUGGGACUGGUCUUAUUAUGGGGACCCAUUUGGUAUUGGAAGUGACAGCCAAUAUGUGUGCCCUGCCCAAAGGCUGCCCGUCAUAAGGAGACACUUUCCAUGGAGUAAGACAUGCUGUCAUUCUGCGUGGAUAUAUUUCUACUUCAACCUAGCUUUGAAGCACACCUUGUGAGAAAGAAAAACAAGCAAUUUAGAGGCGAUAUAUCAUACUAUAUCAGUUUAUGCAACAUGCCCAUGGUGGCCCACAUCUCACCCAAGAGGAAGCAAGUAUAUUUCAUUAUUUGUUUUCUCUGACCAAGAUAAAUACAAUAUAAUCACUAUGUGUUUGAAUUCUGGAUGUUUUUUUGAGAUUUGUAUUAUUAUAGUUGUUACAUUGUUAUCCUCCUUGCUUGCUUCACUCUGUAAAUUUACUCAUCUCCUGUUUCUAGGAAUUCCUCAUACUUGCCACUUUGGGGGAAACCAGUUCAAUAUUCAUUAAGGGAAAGAUCCUGCCCUCAAGGAGGUUACAUUUUAAUCCCUUAAUGAGGUCUGUGAACUUUAUUGAUAUAUUUUGGGGUUUAUUUUUAGUUUAAAUUUCUACCUUAAAAAAAAAAAAGCACCUUCCAUCUUAGAAUCAAUACUGUGUAUUAG